AUACGUAGGGGGCUAGCGUUAUCCGGAUUUACUGGGUGUAAAGGGAGCGUAGGCGGGCAGGCAAGUCAGGCGUUAAAUCCAUCGGCUCAACCGGUGGCUGCGCUUGAAACUGCAGGUCUUGAGUGAAGUAGAGGUUGGCGGAAUUCCUAGUGUAGCGGUGAAAUGCGUAGAUAUUAGGAGGAACACCAGUUGCGAAGGCGGCUCUCUGGACUGUAACUGACACUGAGGCACGAAAGCGUGGGGAGC
rnacentral:rRNA from 1 species